rnacentral:rRNA from 1 species
GGGGGGACGGAGAAGGCUAGGUGGGCCUGGCGACGGUUGUCCAGGUUCAAGUGCGUAGGCUUAAGAGUUAGGUAAAUCCGGCUCUUUUUAAGGCUGAGACACGACGUCGAGCACCUACGGGUGUGAAGUCAUUGAUGCCAUGCUUCCAGGAAAAGCCUCUAAGCUUCAGAUUGUAAGGAAUCGUACCCCAAACCGACACAGGUGGUCGGGUAGAG